rnacentral:rRNA from 1 species
GACGAACGCUGGCGGCGUGCCUAAUACAUGCAAGUAGAACGCUGAAGGAGGAUCUUGCUUCUCUGGAUGAGUUGCGAACGGGUGAGUAACGCGUAGGUAACCUGCCUGGUAGCGGGGGAUAACUAUUGGAAACGAUAGCUAAUACCGCAUAAUAGUAGAUGUUGCAUGACAUUUGCUUAAAAGGUGCAAUUGCCUCACUACCAGAUGGACCUGCGUUGUAUUAGCUAGUUGGUGAGGUAACGGCUCACCAAGGCAACGAUACAUAGCCGACCUGAGAGGGUGGUCGGCCAAACUGGGACUGGGACACGGCCCAGAAUCCUUCGGGAGGGAGCAAGAGGGGAACUUCGGAAAUGGAGGGAAGGCUGACCGCGCAACGCCGGGGGGGUGGAGGAGGUUUUCGGAUCGGAAAGCUCUGUUGUAAGGGAAGAAAGAGUGUGAGAGUGGAAAGUUCACGCUGUGACGGUAGCUUAACAGAAAGGGACGGCUAACUACGUG